rnacentral:rRNA from 1 species
UACGGAGGGUGCAAACGUUGCUCGGAAUCAUUGGGCGUAAAGCGCACGUAGGCGGUCUGUUAAGUCGGAUGUGAAAGCCCCGGGCUCAACCCGGGAAGUGCAUACGAAACUGGCGGACUUGAAUAUGGAAGAGGGUCGCGGAAUUCCCGGUGUAGAGGUGAAAUUCGUAGAUAUCGGGAGGAACACCAGUGGCGAAGGCGGCGACCUGGGCCAAUAUUGACGCUAAUGUGCGAAAGCGUGGGAGCAAACAGG